GAUCAUGGCUCAGGAUGAACGCUAGCGACAGGCUUAACACAUGCAAGUCGAGGGGCAUCAUGAGGUAGCAAUACCUUGAUGGCGACCGGCGCACGGGUGAGUAACGCGUAUCCAACCUGCCCACCACUUGGGGAUAACCUUGCGAAAGUAAGACUAAUACCCAAUGAUAUCUCUAGAAGACAUCUGAAAGAGAUUAAAGAUUCAUCGGUGAUGGAUGGGGAUGCGUUUG
rnacentral:rRNA from 1 species